rnacentral:rRNA from 1 species
GAUGAACGCUGGCGGCGUGCCUAAUACAUGCAAGUCGAGCGAACGGACGAGAAGCUUGCUUCUCUGAUGUUAGCGGCGGACGGGUGAGUAACACGUGGAUAACCUACCUAUAAGACUGGGAUAACUUCGGGAAACCGGAGCUAAUACCGGAUAAUAUUUUGAACCGCAUGGUUCAAAAGUGAAAGACGGUCUUGCUGUCACUUAUAGAUGGAUCCGCGCUGCAUUAGCUAGUUGGUAAGGUAACGGCUUACCAAGGCAACGAUGCAUAGCCGACCUGAGAGGGUGAUCGGCCACACUGGAACUGAGACACGGUCCAGACUCCUACGGGAGGCAGCAGUAGGGAAUCUUCCGCAAUGGGCGAAAGCCUGACGGAGCAACGCCGCGUGAGUGAUGAAGGUCUUCGGAUCGUAAAACUCUGUUAUUAGGGAAGAAGAUAUGUGUAAGUAACUGUGCACAUCUUGACGGUACCUAAUCAGAAAGCCACGGCUAACUACGUG